rnacentral:SRP_RNA from 1 species
GCCAGGCGCGGUGGCACGUGCCUGUAGUCCCAGCUACUCAGGAGGCUGAGGUGAGAGGAUCGCCUGAGUCCAGGAGGUCUGGGCUGUAGUGCGCUAUGCUGAUCAGGUGUCCGUACUAAAUUCAGCAUCAAUAUGGUGACCUCCCGGGAGCGGGGGACCACUAGGUUCCCUAAGGAGGGGUGAACCGGCCCAAGUAGGUCAAAACUCCUGUGCUGAUCAGUAGUGGGAUUGCACCUGUGAAUAGCCACUGCACUCCAGCCUGGGCAACAUAGCAAGACCCCGUCUCU